GACGAACGCUGGCGGCGUGCCUAACACAUGCAAGUCGAGCGGGAACCUCAGGAGGGGUAACCCUCUUGGGGGGAGAGCGGCGAACGGGUGAGUAACACGUGGGCAACCUGCCCCGGACACCGGGAUAACCCAGGGAAACCUGAGCUAAUACCGGAUACUCCGGCGUGAUCGCAUGGUCGCGCCGGGAAAGCUCCGACGGUCCGGGAUGGGCCCGCGGCCUAUCAGCUUGUUGGUGGGGUAACGGCCCACCAAGGCGACGACGGGUAGCUGGUCUGAGAGGACGGCCAGCCACACUGGGACUGAGACACGGCCCAGACUCCUACGGGAGGCAGCAGUGGGGGAUCUUGCGCUAAUGCGCGAAAGCGUGACGCAGCGACGCCGCGUGGGGGAUGAAGGCCCUCGGGUUGUAAACCCCUUUCGGCAGGGACGAAGCGAGAGUGACGGUACCUGCAGAAGAAGUCCCGGCUAACUACGUGCCAGCCGCCGCAGUAAUAC
rnacentral:rRNA from 1 species